CUUCUGUUGUGUUCGUUAUCAAGCUCGUGGUAACUUGAGCCGAUAAGCUAAUAAACGGGGGAUCUAUAAUCGGUAUUGUUGUGCAUGUCCAUCCACGUGGAAAGCCUGAAAUACUGUUUCGGAUACCCACUUGAACCUCUGGUUCAAGUUCAAUGCUCUGAAACGACAUCACGGUU
rnacentral:other from 1 species